rnacentral:rRNA from 1 species
GAUGAACGCUGGCGGCGUGCCUAAUACAUGCAAGUCGAGCGAACGGACGAGAAGCUUGCUUCUCUGAUGUUAGCGGCGGACGGGUGAGUAACACGUGGAUAACCUACCUAUAAGACUGGGAUAACUUCGGGAAACCGGAGCUAAUGCCGGAUAAUAUUUUGAACCGCAUGGUUCAAAGGUGAAAGACGGUCUUGCUGUCACUUAUAGAUGGAUCCGCGCUGCAUUAGCUAGUUGGUAAGGUAACGGCUUACCAAGGCAACGAUGCAUAGCCGACCUGAGAGGGUGAUCGGCCACACUGGAACUGAGACACGGUCCAGACUCCUACGGGAGGCAGCAGUAGGGAAUCUUCCGCAAUGGGCGAAAGCCUGACGGAGCAACGCCGCGUGAGUGAUGAAGGUCUUCGGAUCGUAAAACUCUGUUAUUAGGGAAGAACAUAUGUGUAAGUAACUGUGCACAUCUUGACGGUACCUAAUCAGAAAGCCACGGCUAACUACGUG